rnacentral:rRNA from 1 species
CGUCCUUACGGGAGGCAGCAGCAAGGAAUUCAUCCCAAUAGGCGGAAGCUGAGGGAGCAACGUCGUGUUGUGUUUGAUGUUUUAUAGAUUAGUAAAUUAUACUCAAUCUGACAUGCAGAACAGAGUUGUCCUAAUGUGUGAUCUAAUCAGAAAGUAGUUUUUGUGAAUAUCGGGGUUAUGAGGCUCCGCGCACAGACAAGAGGCUUCCAAGAUGGUUGUUUUGUAG